rnacentral:other from 1 species
GUCGGCCCGGACGAAACGGUUCGCUAUUGACAGUACACCGGAAUAUCCGCAGAUCCGUGCUAGCCUGGAGACUGGAUGUCCAUCGACAUCCAUGAAUGAAAGAAGUAAAUGUAUGGCACAGGGAACUGUGAAAUGGUUCGACAGCGAUAAGGGCUUCGGUUUCAUCGCUCCCGACGACGGUGCGAAGGAUGUCUUCGUACACUUCUCGGAAAUCCAGGGAAAUGGUUAUCGCUCGCUUGACGAAAACCAGCGAGUGGAGUUCACGGUCGAACAGGGCGCCAAAGGCCCUCAGGCUACGGGCGUAACCACCCUCUAAAGCUUGCACGAUCGUUGUGGGCCGGUCGGGAAAUCUCCCGCCGGCCCACA